AUGAUCCUGGAAUGUGCGAGGCCCCUUUUUAUUUUGAACCUACAUUGACUAAAAGGGAAUCUUAUCAUCUCAGUUCUUAUGUCAGGCCAUCCUGUAAAUGGAAGACAGAAGUUCUGAUGCGGACACCCACCUGGCUGCGGCGAGGCGUCGAAUAGAGGGAACGGCAUUCCGGGAUAUUU
rnacentral:other from 1 species